AUUGAACGCUGGCGGCAGGCCUAACACAUGCAAGUCGAACGAGUGGCGGACGGGUGAGUAAUGUCUGGGAAACUGCCUGAUGGAGGGGGAUAACUACUGGAAACGGUAGCUAAUACCGCAUACCAUCGGAUGUGCCCCGAUGGGAUUAGCUGGUAGGUGGGGUAACGGCGCACCUAGGAGACGAUCCCUAGCUGGUCUGAGAGGAGGACCAGCCACACUGGAACUUAGACACGGUCCAGACUCCUACGGUAGGCAGCAGUGGGGAAUAGUGCACAAUGGGCGCAAGCCUGAUGCAGCUAUGCCGCGUGUAUGAAGAAGGCCUUCGGGUUGUAAAGGACUUUCAGCGGUGAGGCGUUACCCGCAGAAGAAGCACCGGCUAACUCCGUGCCAGCAGCCGCGGUAAUAC
rnacentral:rRNA from 1 species